rnacentral:lncRNA from 1 species
CAUAAUUCUACAUGAACCAAAAUCUCUUUUCUGUGUUCUGUAAAAAUCUCAGAGAAAUUUUCUUCUUCAUGUCUUAUUCACAGGAAGGGUGAAGUCUAUACCAAAACAACCCAAAGCUGCCUUGGAAGGAUACUGUAACAUGGGAAGAUGUGCAAAAAUACUUUAUGGAGGAUACGACUGAAUCUUUAUAGUUGUCUGUGUCUGGUUGUAAGGAUUCAGAGGAGAGGAAACAGAAAUGUUGGAAAAUUCCAAGGCUUUUUAUGUUGUGACUUUGAUGCAUUGUCAAAAAGUGAGAGAAAGAGGCUAGUGAAGACUCCUGCCUCCAGUAUGAGGAAAGGUUUCCUCAUCAAACUCCUGACACUUAAUUACAGUGAUUUUUCUGCCCGAGGAACCAAAGAACCCACAAAGUGGUCAACUAUGGUCAGAAACUGUGAGUUGUGACUGGGAGCCCUUCUCCUCUCCUGGCCUCAAAGUAAAAGGGCCUGAUUAAUGGCAGGGGCUGAAAAAAAGACCCUGACAUUUAGUUGAAAAGGGACUCUCUAAGCAUGAUGAAAUGGGAAAUUACUGUUCUUUCUAGGGGCUGGUUUCAAGGCCCAGUGCUGGGGACGUAGGU